AUGGGUGGAAAUCAACAGGAGAGGUAUCAGGCUGGGAUGAGUGAGAAUAGGCAGGAAAGUGGGUCUAUGGCUAAUAAUGCAAAUAUACAACAGAUGGGAACGCAGGGAGGACCGGUCCAGUUGGCAGGGGCUUUUCCUAUGAUGAGCAACAGUGGUUUCCCUCAGAUUGUGCCAGUGGGGAUGGGGCUUGGGCGGUUUGGUUUCAUGCCACAAGAGCAAAUGGCACAGCAAUAUCAGUUUCUUCUCUCCAAUAUGCCAAAACAGGAAAUUCUACAGACACAAGGAGGUGCAAGAGUGGAAGGAGCUAAAGAGAUGACAAAAAAGAAGAAAACAGGAAAUCCCAAGGAGCUGGCCAUCUCACAAUACUGA
rnacentral:rRNA from 1 species